rnacentral:lncRNA from 1 species
UUUUUGACCUUUAGUUCCUAGCCUCGAGUUCCAAGUGUCUUGAGCAGACCCAUGGCCCUUGGCUCGAAAACCUGCCAUCUCUCUAUCCAAGUACUUGGCUUCCUCCUCAGUAUCAAAUUCAUAAGUCUAGAAUUCUUAUGUGCCUAUAGUAUUUAAGUUUUUUCUGAUGUCCUUAAAUAACUUAGUAUGCGACCCAAUAUUAGUCCUCUGCUAUGCUAUCUUUUGACU